AGCACUGGGGCUUAGUUGGUUAAAGCACUUGUCUAGUAAACAGGAGAUCCUUGGUUCCAACCCCAGUGGUGACUG
rnacentral:tRNA from 1 species